CUGCUUUUGGUUGAUUAUUAUUACUCGACAUUACUUUUGAAGAUUUUAAUUAAGGAUUUUGCUGUUAAUCUGUGUAACUGGAUAAUAUGUGAGAUUUAAAAUUUUGAUUAGUAAUUAGAUUUGAGUGCUGACCCAUCUCGAAUGUAUGCUCUGUAUUUAGUUUUAUAUGAUGCUCUUUUGACAUUUCUGAUUUUAUGGAAUAAAUUGUGUGGGGAAAUAUUAUUUAUCUGAUCAACACUUGGGGGGCGAAUUUACGAGUUAUGUGUUAUUUUGAAGGUCUUGGUCUCAUGAAGAAAGUUUUUACUGUAUUUAGAGAAUAGAAGACAGGUACUAAUUGCAUGAAAAAUGUUUUAUUGUAUUUAGAGAAUAAAAGCUUCCACGUAUCAUAUAUUUACCAUUUCGUUUGUUUUAAUCCUGCAGUAAAGAAAGCAAACAAUUAAGUAUGAAAUUUACUAUUGUAAGUGAAGUUUAUGAAGCUAGGAAAAUUGGAG
rnacentral:lncRNA from 1 species